GCAACAGCUCAAAUUUGAAAUCUGGCCCUCGGGUCCGAGUUGUAAUUUGGAGAGGAUGCUUUUGGCGCGGCGCCGUCCGAGUUCCUUGGAACAGGACGCCAUAGAGGGUGAGAGCCCCGUACGGGCGGCCGCCUAGCCUUUGUAAAGCUCCUUCGACGAGUCGAGUAGUUUGGGAAUGCUGCUCAAAAUGGGAGGUAAAUUUCUUCUAAAGCUAAAUACCGGCCAGAGACCGAUAGCGCACAA
rnacentral:rRNA from 2 species